rnacentral:rRNA from 1 species
AGAGAUCAUGGCUCAGAAUCAACGCUGGCGGCGUGCCUCAGACAUGCAAGUCGAACGAUUAAACUUUCCUUCGGGAAAGAUAUAAAGUGGCGCACGGGUGAGUAACACGUAAGUAAUCUGCCUUUGAGUGGGGAAUAACCCGGGGAAACCCGAGCUAAUACCGCAUAAUGCAGCGGCACCGCAAGGUGACAGUUGUUAAAGGAGCAAUCCGCUUAAAGAGGAGCUUGCGGCAGAUUAGCUAGUUGGUAAGGUAAUGGCUUACCAAGGCUACGAUCUGUAACCGGUCUAAGAGGACGGUCGGUCACACUGACACUGAAUAACGGGUCAGACUCCUACGGGAGGCAGCAGUCGGGAAUUUUGGGCAAUGGGCGAAAGCCUGACCCAGCAACGCCGCGUGAAGGAUGAAGUAUUUCGGUAUGUAAACUUCGAAAGAAUGGGAAGAAUCAAUGACGGUACCAUUUAUAAGGUCCGGCUAACUACGUGCCAGCAGCCGCGGUAAUACGUAGGGACCAAGCGUUGUUCGGAUUUACUGGGCGUAAAGGGCGCGUAGGCGGCCAUUUAAGUCAUCUGUGACAUCUCUGGGCUUACCUCGC